rnacentral:rRNA from 1 species
GAUGAACGCUGGCGGCGUGCCUAAUACAUGCAAGUCGAGCGAACGGACGAGAAGCUUGCUCCUCUGAUGUUAGCGGCGGACGGGUGAGUAACACGUGGAUAACCUACCUAUAAGACUGGGAUAACUUCGGGAAACCGGAGCUAAUACCGGAUAAUAUUUUGAACCGCAUGGUUCAAAAGUGAAAGACGGUUUUGCUGUCACUUAUAGAUGGAUCCGCGCUGCAUUAGCUAGUUGGUAAGGUAACGGCUUACCAAGGCAACGAUGCAUAGCCGACCUGAGAGGGUGAUCGGCCACACUGGAACUGAGACACGGUCCAGACUCCUACGGGAGGCAGCAGUGGGGAAUAUUCCGCAAUGGGCGCAAGCCUGAACGAGCCAAGCCGCGUGAGUGAAGAAGGUCUUCGGGUUGUAAAACCCUUUUAUUAGGGAAGAAAAUAAGGGGAAGUAAACCCGCCCAUUCUGACGGUACCCAAAGAAAAAGCCCCGGCUAACUUCGUG